UACGAGGGGGGCAAGCGUUGUUCGGAAUUAUUGGGCGUAAAGGGCGCGUAGGCGGUUUGACAAGUCUGAUGUGAAAUCUAUGGGCUCAACCCAUAGCCUGCAUUAGAAACUGUCGGGCUUGAGUAUGGGAGAGGUGAGUGGAAUUUACGGUGUAGCGGUGAAAUGCGUAGAUAUCGUAAGGAAGACCAGUGGCGAGGGCGGGUCUCUGGACAGUUCCUGACGCUGAGGCACGAAGGCCAGGGGAGCAAACGGG
rnacentral:rRNA from 1 species